rnacentral:antisense_RNA from 1 species
UUUUCUUUUCUUGUAGUGUCCUUGUCUGGCUAUUGUUCACGAGCAUGUUGUUCAAUUUCUUUGUAUUUGUGAAAUUUUCCAAAAUUCCUUUUAUUAUUCCUAGUUUCAUACCAUUGUGGUCAGAAAAGAUACUUGGUAUGAUUUCAGUCUUCUAAAGUUUAUUAAGACUCGUUUUGUGGCCUAACAUGUGAGUUGUCCUCAAGAAUGUUCCAUGUGCACUUGGGAAGAAUGUAUUUUCUGCUGCUGUUGGAUGGAAUGUUCUUUACAUGUCUGUUAGUUUCCUUUGGUCUAAAGUGUAGUUCAGGUUUGAUGUUUCCUUUUUGAUUUUCUGGCUUUAUUGAAAGUGGACUAUUGAAGUCUCCUACUGUUAUUAUUAUUAUUGAAAUGGAGUCCUGCUCUGUCACCCAGGCUGGAGUGCAGUGGCAAAAUAUCGGCUCACUGAAACCUCCGCCUCCCGGGUUCGAGUGAUUCUCCUCCCUCAGCCUCCUGAGUAGGUGAGAUUACAGGUCAUAGAAUUUUCCACACUCCUUGACGGAGGUUCUUAACCCUUAUCCAUCAGCAUUCUCAGACAGCACCUCCGGUUAGGGACAGUAUCUGACCGUCCGACAUCCCUGCAGCCCCCAUGCUGUCACACAGACUCAGCCUCAGGUAGAUGGUUUCCGUAGAUGGUGGCUUUCUUUGGACCCUUGAUAUCAACCAGUUACUAUUUGACUCUUCUGCAGAACCCCAUGUUGACCCCUGCUUUGAGGUGGCAGCGUUAACACUACUCUUUGUUAUAAGCUCUCGUCUGGGGCAACUCAGGAGAACGGGACCAGAUGUGCAGAGGUAAUGAAUACCAGGGAAUCAGG